rnacentral:sRNA from 1 species
UCAGUGAAUCAUCGAAUCUUUGAACGCACCUUGCCGCCCUUUGGCUAUUCCGAAGGGCAUGCCUGUUUGAGUAUCAUGAACACCUCAACUCUCAUGGUUUGCCAUGAUGAGCUUGGACUUUGGGGGUCUUGCUGGCCUAACUGUCGGCUCCUCUCAAAUGAAUCAGCUUGCCAGUGUUUGGUGGCGUCACAGGUGUGAUAACUAUCUACGCUUGUGGUCUUCCAUCAGGUUACCUUCAGCGAUGAAGGUUCGCUGGAGCUUACAGACGUCUCUCCUCAGGGAGGACAGCUUUUUGAACGUUUGAUCUCAAAUCAGGUAGGACUACCCGCUGAACUUAAGCAUAUCAAUAAGCGGAGGAAA